rnacentral:lncRNA from 1 species
UUGGUACCCACUAAAUUGAAAUACCACGUUGAUAAGAAUAUAUGGAUACAAAACUGCAUUUUCCAUUAAGGAAAAAAAAAAAAAAAAAAAAAAAAGGCAAGUGGACUAGAGAGAAAUGAACCUUCUGUCUAAAAAAAAAUUGGGGAAAAAGCAGAUUUUCAGUGAAAUCAUGAGAGAGGAAAAGGAAGGGAAGGGAAGGGAAGGGAAGGGAAGGCCACAGAAGCACGGGAAUAAAAUGGGAGUUUGUUCAAAAAAAAAAAACCAACAAUUAGAAAAAUACCUUUUUUGUUUGUUUGUUUAAAUUUUAAAAAAUCAGUUUUGCAAAGGUGCUUAGAGGCUCUACUCCACUCUGGAAUGUUUACGAGGCAUUUUGUAAUUUAAAUAUAGUAGAAAUAACUCUUGGAGCACUAUCAUCACAUAUGGAUACUAUCCUGCAGCUGCUGAAGACGACAGAAAAUAGACUUUGUCAUGUGGCAUUCUGACAGGAGGUUAAUCAGGAGAGUACACUUUAAAGGACAAUGGAAGCACAAGGAUUUAUGUCUUUAUAGGUUUCCGAAGCGCAGAGCCUCACCUCCAGCUAUGUCCAAGGGCCCGUUCUUUUUCCGAAGCUCAAUGACAGCUUCCACAAACUCCUUGCCGCCUUUCUUUUCCAAAGUGCUCCCUGAACAGAGAAUUGUUAUUUUACUCCUCUGAUCCCAGGUUUCCACGACAGACACAUGACUCAUCAUUAUUUGCAAUUACAUCAGUCUAGAUUUUUCUGCCCAAACGUUUUUUGGGGACUGCAAAGUAAGAUCUAAACCUUUUGGGACUUCAGAAUUAGCUACUCAUUAAAAACAACAACAACAACAACAAAAAUGAAAAACCAAAAAAGACAACCCUAAGAACCCAAAAACCUCACGUCUGAAUCCCUUGCUAACAUUCUCAGACCGUGAUUUUCAUGUCAAAACAUCUGACAUGACGUCCCUAUCUCCUUCCUUAUCAGAAGCAUCUGUCAGUGUGAAACGUUGCAAAAGAACGUGCUAGCUCAAGAGUGGUGAAGGUUCAUAAUUCCUGCCGUCAAGGUUCAUUUCCCCUCUCUCUUAUAAAUGGUUUUAAAGAGCCAUUUGCCACAAUAAGAAUUUGAGACUCACCUGAUCUUGGUCCCUGACCCCAACAGGUGGCACCAGGAAUGAAACAGUCUCGUGAGUGCAGCGGGCUGCUUUACUUGGUAACUGCCCAGCUUGUUGAGCCACCUUUAACCAAGAGGAAGAGCCUCAGAAAUAAGGAGAAUCUCUAAGGAACAUAUUCCUCCAAUGAACUUCUCUAACUACAGCUAAGGAGCUGGACAAAGUCAUUUUGGGAGGAGAAGAGCUGUGCAGCAUUAUCAGGGCAACCAAAAGGUAUGCCAUUUACAAAGGCAGUCCAUCACUAAAUGGUUUAGAUCUUAUUUUGCAGCUCUAGUUUUAGGUAUUAAUAUAAUAAAAACAGCCCAAGAAAGCA